GCACUGCUGAAGAGACCCACAAUAGUUCGAAACGGCCGUCCAGUGU
rnacentral:hammerhead_ribozyme from 1 species